AAAUGUCCACAUGCAGCCAGGGUGCUGACUGAGGUGACCAGUUUGCUUGAGUUUUCAUGCUCUGCACUCUCCAGCGGAACCGCAGCUGCAGGACUCUUAUUUUUGUGAUGUGGAGCAUGUCUGGGUGUGUGGCAGGGGGAACUGAAAUAGUCUCUGCUGACUUUUUGUACCUACAGAUUUUGUUUCAUUGCUCAUUUUGGAAAAGGGAAGCCCUUAUAGGGGCCAAAUUAAUGGUUUUUCUGUAAAUGAUUUUUUCCCCCCUCAAACUCCAUUGGCUUGACUUCCAGUGAUAUAGAAAGGCAAUAUGGUGAACUUCUCAGCCCGAAAAAGGAGAUUUCCAAUCAGGGCCGAGAGGCUCAUGCUAAGGUGGAAAGAUUUUCCUCCGUUAUGGACUCUUGGAUACCCACGGGAGACUUAAAAGGCCCUCAGACCACGGGAUUAAUGCCACAGCUCCGGAGCAAGCCCCAGCCCCAGCCCGGCCAUACCAGGGCGUCCGUGUGAAGGAGCCAGUGAAGGAACUGCUGAGGAGGAAGCGAGGCCACGCCA
rnacentral:sRNA from 1 species